UCCGCAAGGAAGUAAGAUCCCUGAAAGAUGAUCAGGUUGAUAGGUCUGAGGUGGAAGUGUGGCGACACAUGGAGCUGACAGAUACUAAUCGAUCGAGGACUUAACCACAUUU
rnacentral:rRNA from 1 species